rnacentral:rRNA from 1 species
AGAGUUUGAUCCUGGCUCAGAUUGAACGCUGGCGGCAGGCCUAACACAUGCAAGUCGAGCGGCAGCGGGACCUUCGGGUUGCCGGCGAGCGGCGGACGGGUGAGUAAUGCCUAGGAAUCUGCCUGUUAGUGGGGGAUAACGCGGGGAAACUCGCGCUAAUACCGCAUACGUCCUACGGGAGAAAGUGGGGGACCUUCGGGCCUCACGCUAACAGAUGAGCCUAGGUCGGAUUAGCUAGUUGGUGGGGUAACGGCCCACCAAGGCGACGAUCCGUAACUGGUCUGAGAGGAUGAUCAGUCACACUGGAACUGAGACACGGUCCAGACUCCUACGGGAGGCAGCAGUGGGGAAUAUUGGACAAUGGGCGAAAGCCUGAUCCAGCCAUGCCGCGUGUGUGAAGAAGGUCUUCGGAUUGUAAAGCACUUUAAGCCGGGAGGAAGGGCUGUAGGCGAAUACCCUGCAGUCUUGACGUUACCGGCAGAAUAAGCACCGGCUAACUUCGUGCCAGCCGCCGCGGUAAUUC